rnacentral:rRNA from 1 species
UUAGGAAUCUUCCCCAAUGGGCGCAAGCCUGAGGGAGCGACACUGCGUGAAGGAUGAAGGUUUUCGGAUCGUAAACUUCUGAACGAGGGGCGAAUAAUGACGGUACCUCGCUAAAAGCACCGGCUAACUCCGUGCCAGCAGCCGCGGUAAUACGGAGGGUGCAAGCGUUAUCCGGAAUCACUGGGCGUAAAGAGCGUGUAGGCGGCCUGGUAAGUCUGUCGUGAAAUGCUGGGGCUCAACCCUGGACGUGCGAUGGAUACUGCUAGGCUAGAGGAUGGUAGAGGCGAGUGGAAUUCCCGGUGUAGCGGUGAAAUGCGCAGAUAUCGGGAGGAACACCAGUAGCGAAGGCGGCUCGCUGGGCCAUUCCUGACGCUGAGACGCGAAAGCGUGGGGAGCAAACAGGAUUAGAUACCCCCGUAGUCC